GGGUUGGAAAAAACACUCAGAUGCAAAACAUGCAAAAAACUAUUUUACUGACAAACAGCAAAGGACGGGCUUAGUUUCAGGAGCUGAACUGGUUAUCUAUUAUACAAACAUAUUAUUGAAAGGGAAGGAAUGGCUGAAAUACACUCACUCGUUGACCCAAAUAAAAUCACAGUGUGCUUUUUCUAUUGCCUCCCCCACCCCCAAGCUCUCUGCGGCUUUCAGCUGCUCCCCUUAGCUUCAGCACAGCGUUGUCACCGCUCCCAGAAUGCAAACUCUAGGUGACGUUUGCCUGUGCAAGUGUAUUUAAUAAAAAAAUUAGCCAUUAUUGCUUUUCAACCACAGUAGAGAUUAUUCUAUGAUUAGACUCGGAGUGGAGUAUAAUCUCUCUCUCUGUUAGUAUCAACAUGUUGUACCUCUUUCCUGUCUGGUGCAUGCAAAAUUGGUUUGAGUGCGGAAAAAAAAGAAAAGAAGGAUUAAUAAUCAGGGAAAACAGCAUUCCAAGUUUUGCUCUUGUAUUCUCACUGCAGAGCACUAUUGAAAAAAAAAAAUCUUCCUAAGCUGUGUGCUCUGUCCUGCAAGGGUUUCCACUGCCUCAGUUGUUGUUUGCUGAGGGUGCUCAGCUCCUGGAAGGAUGGAACCGUCCUCCUGGUGUCACCCCUCCGUGGAAAUCCCAGGGCUCGGCUUGAAGAGGAGACUAAAACUAGCAGCCCCCUUGGGAAAGAAACGAGUGCGAAUGAAUGGGAGGUACCACAGAAGAGGAAUGGACUUCAUGCAGUGACCACAGGAUGACACACACGGACAGAAACACACAGAUGCGCACGGACACGCACACACAAAACCGGACCAGUAUCCUGAGAGCCCAGCCAGGAUGCAGCAAACUGGUAGCCCAGGCUCACUGUAGAGCUUCUGACACCUGCCCACGUGUUCUGCCCUGCUCCCUUUCCUUCUGCCCCGACAGCCUGCACGCAUGGAGUUUGCAGGUCUGGGGUUUUUUUAUUAUUUUUCUCGCUCUUUUUUUUUUUUCUUUUUUUUUUUUUUCCUUUCUUUUCCCCUUCAGUAAGUUCUCUUGCUGCUUCGUGCUCUCCAGGGCACCGCAGGGAGCUGGGCUGGCCUGAGGACAUCAUCUCAUCGCUCCCUCCUGAGGUAGAACCAGCAGUCCUGUGUCCCUGCCUCAUGUGUGACACAUAAUGCCCUGGCUGUCCCCUGCUGUACGCCCCAUUGCCUGUCCCUGCAACAUACGUCUGUCCCACCAGCAUGCCCAGGUUGCAAAGCAUUUGAUCCAAAUGUCCUUCUAGCUGUCCUGUCUGCCCUGGUAAGAGAAGUAUUUUUAUUCUUUCACAUUCAGAGGUGCUCUGAAAGCUUCUGUUGGCCCUUUUCUACCUUUCAAAGCCCUCCACAUUCAGAAGAAGCCUUCGUUACCUCCGUGUCCACCCCCACACACACUCUUCAUCGAUGCCACGCUGAAGGUGGAACUGCUGCGGCAAAGCAAAACCUGAAAUGAGACUGAAACUUCCCGUGACAUUUAUUGUCUGCAAGCCUCCAGCCUUGUAUGCGGCGGGGGAAGGAUGAGCGUUGCCCUCCCUUUUCCAGCACAGCCAGUACACGUGAAAUGUUUCCUUCACGAUGUGCUUUCUCCUGAGCUGCGAAUGACCUUGGAUCAGGACUUCCCUCGCUGGCUCACCUAGACCCUACCCCAGGUAAGCAAAGGCUAUUGACGUUUGCAUGUGUGCUGCUUGCUGCAACCUCAACUCUGGGUAUCAACGCUUGGUCUCUUGCAAAACCAGUGGGUUUCAGCUCACCUAUCUGCAUGGCUUUUUUUUUUUUUUUUUUCCACAGAAUGCUUGAGACUGGAAAGGGCCUCUGGAGCUCAUCUGGUCGAACCCCUUGGUCAGGCUGCCCAAGGACACGUCCAGUUGGCUUCUGGCUAUCUCCAAGGAUGGAGACUCCACAACCUCUCUGGCAACUUGUCCCAGUGCUCGGUCACCCUCACCGGAAAAAAAUGUUGCCUGAUGUUCAAGCAGAACCUCCUGCAUUCCACUUUGUGCCCGUUGCCUCUGGUCCUGUCGCUGGACACCACCGCAAAGAGCCCGGCUCUGCCUCCUUUACACCCUCCCUGCAGGUAUUGAUACACCUUGAUUCCCCUGAGCUUUUUCUUCUCUGAAUAGUCCCAGCUCUCUCAGCCUUUCCUCAGAGCAAUGCUCCAGUCCCUCGGCCACCUUUUUAGCAUGCCUUUCUAUCAGGGAUUCUCUUCUCCCAGCUGAGGGCAACUGGAAAAGAGGUAGAGAGGAGCAGUGGGAGUAACUCAAAGCAGGCCCCGCUGCUGUGAACACCUGGGACGCGCUCUGGGUUCCUUGCUGGUCCUUCAGUGUUUAGUGGUAGGUGCUGCCAGAGCUGAUGUGUCCCUGGCUGGCUCAGGGACUGAGCAGCAGGAGGACGGGGUGGCUGGGAUCGACACACGUGCUACCCCUGGCAUCCCCCGGGCCAUGGCUUUGGGCUCCUUCUUUCCUCUCCUGCAACGUGCAGCUCCGCCAGCCCCACUCUGGCACAGUGCUUCUUACACCUACGGUGAAUUUGGCCUCCUGUCGCUUCCUCCUUCCCCCCAGCCAGCCUGCUGGGAGCCUCUGAACGCGGUGGAAGGACAGAUGCCAGGUAGGAAGCAAAGUGGAGGAGCCCACCAGCUUGACAGCCUGCUCUUUAACGAGCGGCAGGACCAGAAAGAAGGUUGCUGUAGCGUGGCUUUAGCUUUACGCUGCCUUGAGGGAGCUCCCUGAGGGGCAAGGGGGUUAUUCAGCGGCGCUGGGGUGGGGGUGGGGGGGCUCGAAUGGAAAAAAAUGCUACUGGUUGCUGCAAUGGAUUUCACAAGCCCUUUGCUUUUCUCCACCUCUUCCCACCCCUCUCCUUUGCACCAGAGCCCAGCCACCAGCGUGCAGCCAGCCCAGCCUGCGCUCCUCACACCAAAAAUGCAGGAGAACAUUUCCAGUGCCCAUCCCAGCUCUGGAAAACGGGCAUGGACAGUUUGAAGCUCUGUUUCUGCUCUAAAAAUAGUCCUUCCUGAGGCGGCACAAAAUCCCCCCCCCCCUCGAAGCCUGCAGAAGCCUCCCUCGAAGCAUCUGGCGGAUGCGCGCUGAGACACGGCACCCACUUCCCACUCCUUUGUCCCCAAGAGCUGCCACUGCAGGCGCAGCUGCCAGCUGGAAGCUUUGCAACCCCCUGUUCCCUCUUCCACAUGUUCUGACCAGUAUCUUGCCCACCCUGACCUUGUUGCAGCAACCCCCCGAUGCCAAAGUCACUUUCAGCUUUCUGUUUGGGGCUGUUGCUGGGGUUGGGGGGGUUGAUCUGUGGGGCUUUUUGUUGUUGUUGUUGUUUCUUUUUUUUUUGGUGUGUGCAUGUGAAGACUGGAUCAGAGGCAAGAGAACAACAACCAAGUCAACACUAGUACAUCUCAGACAAUUAAACGAGGAGAAAACACCCCCACGACCAGACAAAAGCAAAGUGAACACACGCACAGGAGAAGACAACGGUGCGACGGCAGACUUUACAGACAACGGAGCUGCGAGCAACGGUAGCAAUGCACUUGGACAGAGGGACAAGAGAGCACGACGUCGGACGCUGUUGGUAAGGCUCGCACCUCCAGCGGGAUCGGCUGAGGGGAUGGGGUAGGGACAAGAGCGCUGAUGUCGAGCAGAGAGAGCAGGCGCUGCUGGGGGCGAUGCAGCUCUGGUCCUGGGGUUCAGCCCUAACGCUGGUCCUGCCUCGGCUGCCUUCUGCCACCCUGGGGGGCUCUGGGCUUGUUCCCCCAAGAGGAGCCGGGGCAGCCACUCGGCUGCGGGGACAACAGCCAUCCUUCACGCAGGUAAAUGCCAGGUGGCACCUGGGCUGCUCCUCUGCGGGGACUUCUCACCAGCGUUUGUUUUUUUGUUUGUUUGAGGCACCCCUGCCGGGGAGCACCCCAUCUCCUGGGGCAGGAGGGGGACCAGGAAGCAGCUUGGCCCAAUUAAUUAAGGAUGAGAAUGAAAGUUCUCCAGUUCCCCAGAAUCAGCCUGUGCUGGGACAAACCUCACUCCAUGAGGGUCUUCCUGGUUUCCUUAGAUUUAAGACUGGUGAAUUAACUCCCAGUAAAUUUAAUUGCGCUCAGAGUAUUUUUUUUUGUUUUAUUUUUUGACUAGGUGUAAACAAGAGAUAGGCUCGCAAGGUAAUAGCUGCAGACACAGCAAAUUAAAAAAAAAAAAAAAAAGUCUGUUCUUAAACCAUGGGAAAUGUACCAUGUAGGAUUUUGGUUUUCUCCCCUCUCUUCCAGAACCUCAUAUUCUUCUGAAAUUCUGGUGUGGGUCAGAGUUACUCAGUGUGAGCCGUCCUCCACUCUUUCCAGCUGUAAGUUUCAUAUUUAAUGAUAUUUUAACUAAGGUCAGUUACUAGAGCAGGGCAGAACCAGACUUUUGCUUCAGUCUGAGUUUAGGUCACUGCCUCCACUCUCCCUGGUGAGAGGCUCCAAGUGGAAAGAGAUUUUUAAGUGCUUUUUUCCCUCAUAACUAGUUCCAGAGGCUCGGUAUUUAUCUCUAGCACGAUGGAAUUUUCUCCCCUGCAAAAUGUUGUCCCAUCUGAAGACGUGCCCGUGACACGUCCCUGCUUUAUAACACAGUACCUAUUCCUCGCGGCCACUUCAUCAUGUGCCACCACCCCCGGGCAAAGCGAGCAGCAGGUCUCAUCGGGCACCCUACGAGGGACACUGGGCUGCGGUGACACCACUGGAGGGUGGCUGCAGACAUGACAACCCUAGGAAGUCCUGGACGGCAGACAGUCAAGCAGACAGACCUAAGUAUAGGCUGGGCAAUUAUUUAGGCUCAGACAGAAACUGGGGCUCCAAGAUAAGAGGCACUAGGGAAUAGCAAAGGUAGGAAUGGAAGAGAAACAGGCUCUUGGUCAGCUUUGGGGCUUGUAAGUAACUGAACUGGUCCUGGGCAUAGAAAACAAUGGGGAAAAAAAAACCAAAACCCACCCCAAGACACAGAAGCUGAAGCAGGGAGGAAAAGAGCAGGGAGUCAUGGUGUCCUUUUCCCUUCACUGACAUUGCAAUCAACUAGGAGGCCACUGACAGUGUCAAGGAAUCCAGAGAAGAAAACAGCAGUUUCUGAUAAUCAUCAUCAUCCUUUUGUUCUGGAUGUUUUCCCCAUUGAAGCACAAGCCCACUCAAUACAAAGUGAUGAAUAAAGGAGAAAUGAUUGGGAUUCAGGGCUACCACCUUUAAAAUUCUUGGGGCUAGCAUCUCCCUCCCUCUCCAUAAAAAUCCCUCUUUCCACUGCAGCGAGCAGGGCUACUGCUGCCUGCUGCCCAGCACGUGCGAGAGCAAUGCAGCCUGGCUGCAUCCACAUCCCUCCCCCAGCAGAACGUGACUGCUCCAGGAAUCUGCUGUCUAGGUGCACGCAGGCUUUCUCGGCUCCUUCAGGCAACUCUGGAAGUGAACGAGGGCUCUGGAGGUGGAGGUUGGUUUCAGAUACUUGAUAGCUACCUUGAAACUCACACCUAAGCUGCGACCAGGGGAAGCAAAGGCAAAACCCAUGUUAGAGCAUCCUCGUGCUUUGAUUCGACCCCUUGCUGGGGCGCUGGGCUCUGUAGGCGAGUUUGGCUUCAGGCUCACAUCGCACUGUGCCCCUCAAGCCAAGCCCAGCCUGCUGCUGAAGGGCUGCUUCAGCUGGGAGCAGCAACACCAGAGCAGGGGUGGCUCUUCAUGUGCGGGAAGAGGGAUGCUGUCACCAGGAUCCUCUCGCUGCACUGCCGGUGUUUCUGGGGUGGCAUUAACCAGGACCUCUGGCUCCCCCCCCAAAAAAGAGGGUGCAGAGCAUCUCCUUCCCUCCCAGGCACGGGGCGGGUGGUGGUUUUGCAGCAGAGGGGGACGAUCAGGGUGCAAGUCGGAUCUAACACCAUUCACUACGCUUCUCCUCGCCUAUCAGGAGCAACUCCUCUCUACCACGAGUGAGGAAUAACAGCACUGACAUCAGCAAGGUACCACCGAUACAAAAGUGAUGUAAACCAGGCAGCACCAGCCUGCGAAACGGACCGAUACCUCAUAGUACUGUUCCCCUGGUACUAAGAUUUCUUGGAUUGCUUAAGGCAGGUUUCAGUGUACAGCAAUGCAAACAACAGAUCAGUUAUAUAUUCCCAGGGCUUCCUUCCCCCCCAGCAACUCCCCAAACCAGGAACCGAAGCAAAAGGGACACUGUGCCUUCACAACUAGCUGGCAGCAGUCCCCAUCCAAACCUGUGACCAGCCAAGCCAUUCUAGCAACGGAAGGAACAGAGCAGAGCAAAACCAAGCCAAAGGACCAAAGAAACAGGGGACUCGAGCUCUUGGAUGAGAAACUCUGCAUCUUCUUCGUGUUGUCCCACCUCCAUCCCCUUGGCCAACGUUCCCCGGAGGGUAGCUGGACGUGCAGGACAGCCGUGAAUGCCAGGAAAAGGGGGUUGAAAGUAUAAUGCAAAUCUCUUUUCUCUUUUUUUCUUUGUUUUUGUUUGUCUGCUUUUUACAUAUAUACACAAGUCUGACAAUAAAACGUAGAACACAGUGCAAUGUCUUGGCUGCGUAGCA